AGCAACCUACCCUCAGCACGGGGAUAACAGCUCGAAAGGGCUGCUAAUACCCGAUGGGACCACGGCAUCGCAUGGUGCUGUGGUGAAAGGGUAGCUGGAGAGGCUAUACCGGCUGGGGAUGGGCUCGCGGCCCAUCAGCUAGUUGGUGGGGUAAUGGCCUACCAAGGCGACGACGGGUAGCCGGCCUGAGAGGGUGUACGGCCACAUUUGGACUGAGACACGGUCCAG
rnacentral:rRNA from 1 species